rnacentral:rRNA from 1 species
GAUGAACGCUGACAGAAUGCUUAACACAUGCAAGUCAACUGUGGCGGACGGGUGAGUAACGCGUAAAGACCUUGCCUUACAGAUAGGGACACCAUUUGGAAACGAAUGCUAAUACCUGAUACUGUGAGAGAGCUUUGCGUCCCAUUAGCUAGUUGGAAAGGUAACGGCUCACCAAGGCGAUGAUGGGUAGCCGGCCUGCGAGGGAGAUCGGCCACAAGGGGACUGAGGAACGGACGUUACUGCUACGGGAAGCAGCAGUGGUGCGUAUUGGACAAUGGGCCAAAGUCUGAUCAAGCAAUUCUGGGUGCACGAUGAAGUUUUCGGAAUGUAAAAUGCAUUGAGUUGGGAAUCGGUACCAACAGAAGAAGGGACGGCUAAAUACGUGCCAGCAGCCGCGGUAAUUC